UACGUAGGGGGCAAGCGUUGUCCGGAUUCAUUGGGCGUAAAGAGCUCGUAGGCGGCUUGGCAAGUCGGGUGUGAAAACUCCAGGCUCAACCUGGAGACGCCACCCGAUACUGCCAUGGCUAGAGUCCGGUAGGGGACCACGGAAUUCCUGGUGUAGCGGUGAAAUGCGCAGAUAUCAGGAGGAACACCGGUGGCGAAGGCGGGUCUCUGGGCCGUAACUGACGCUGAGGAGCGAAAGCGUGGGGAGCGAACAGG
rnacentral:rRNA from 1 species